rnacentral:rRNA from 1 species
UUAUGACAAUGGCUUUAGUGGCGGACUGGUGAGUAACGCGUAAGCAAUCUGCCUAUUAGAGGGGAAUAACAGUGAGAAAUCAUUGCUAAUACCGCAUAUGCCAUAGUUAUCACAUGAUAGUAGUGGGAAAGGAGUAAUCCGCUAAUAGAUGAGCUUGCGUCUGAUUAGCUAGUUGGUGGGGUAACGGCCUACCAAGGCGACGAUCAGUAGCCGGACUGAGAGGUUGAACGGCCACAUUGGGACUGAGAUACGGCCCAGACUCCUACGGGAGGCAGCAGUCGGGAAUAUUGCGCAAUGGAGGAAACUCUGACGCAGUGACGCCGCGUAUAGGAUGAAGGUUUUCGGAUUGUAAACUAUUGUCGUUAGGGAAGAAAAGACAGUACCUAAGGAGGAAGCUCCGGCUAACUACGUGCC